UACGGAGGGGGCUAGCGUUGUUCGGAAUUACUGGGCGUAAAGCGCGCGUAGGCGGCUUUGUAAGUUAGAGGUGAAAGCCCGGAGCUCAACUCCGGAAUUGCCUUUAAGACUGCAUCGCUAGAAUCAUGGAGAGGUGAGUGGAAUUCCGAGUGUAGAGGUGAAAUUCGUAGAUAUUCGGAAGAACACCAGUGGCGAAGGCGACUCACUGGACAUGUAUUGACGCUGAGGUGCGAAAGCGUGGGGAGCAGACAGG
rnacentral:rRNA from 1 species